AUGUCCAAGUCCAACACUUCCGCUUCUUCGGUAGGUGCAAGCCGAGGCGGGUCGUCGGUGUCCGCGUCGGCCAUCGUGGCCCCUGUUGUCGAGUCCGGGUCGCACAUCCUCCGCAUCGACGGCUACUCCCGCACCAAGGGGCUCGGCAAGGGCGAAUUCAUGGCGUCCGAGACGUUCGCGGCCGGAGGCAGUCUGGAAGCUAAAUACACUAUCAGUUUGCUCGACCAAGAUGGGAACCUGGUGCCAUCGUACAGCGAUACGGGCCAGGACACCUUUGAAGCCGGCAGCGAUGACGGUUCGUGGGGCUUUGAUCUCAUCAAGAGGAGCGAGCUGGAGGAAUCGGUCUACCUGAAGGAUGAUGUUUUCUUUGUCAGGUGUGAUGUCACCGUGUUCAAAGAGAAGAUGUUCACCAAGGCUGUUCCGGUUCCCGAAGUUUUUCGUGCUGUCAUUAGGCAAGACUGA
rnacentral:rRNA from 1 species